CCUACGGGUGGCAGCAGUGGGGAAUAUUGCGCAAUGGGCGAAAGCCUGACGCAGCGACGCCGCGUGAGGGAUGAAGGUCUUCGGAUCGUAAACCUCUGUCAGCAGGGAAGAACGGUCACUGUGCUAAUCAGCAGUGAAUUGACGGUACCUGCAAAGGAAGCACCGGCUAACUCCGUGCCAGCAGCCGCGGUAAUACGGAGGGUGCGAGCGUUAAUCGGAAUUACUGGGCGUAAAGCGCUCGUAGGCGGUAUGUCAAGUCAAGGGUGAAAUCCCCGCGCUCAACGUGGGAACUGCCUUUGAAACUGGCAGACUGGAGUGUGGGAGAGGAUAGUAGAAUUCCAGGUGUAGGGGUGAAAUCCGUAGAGAUCUGGAGGAACAUCAGUGGCGAAGGCGACUAUCUGGCACAUGACUGACGCUGAGGAGCGAAAGCGUGGGUAGCAAACAGGAUUAGAUACCCCGGUAGUC
rnacentral:rRNA from 1 species